UGCAAGCGCAGCUUUCCUGGAAGGGGGACCCCUGAGCCUUUCCGGUGUUUACUGAGGACCUGCAGGUGCCAAGAGUCUAGAGAUACAGCCAUGAACACGACAGACAAGGGCCCUGCCCUCAUGGAGCUCCCAGUCUAGUUAGGAGACAACCGUGGCACGGCAUGGCCAGUGGCCAAUCAGAACAGACACCAGCUGUGGACGCCCAGCACGGCAGACCGCUGCCUGCCAGCUGAACGGGAGCCCCGGCGUGCAGAAAGAGGAAGAGGGAAAGGCACAAGGCUCUGUGAGCUGAGUCAACUCCAGUUUUUAAGGAGCCUUCCUGGAAGAUGAACUCAACUACUUCCCGUACACUGCUGACCAGAAAUAGCCUGGCAACGGGAUCUGGAAGGGAAGCUGGGAAAUGUAGAUUUUUUUAGCUGGUUUAUUGCCACUGCUUCCGAAAAUCAAAGUCUACCCCCAGGUACAUAGUUGUGUAUUCUUCGUUGUGGGUUCUUCUAGUUGUGACAUGUGGGACGCCGCCUCAGCGUGGUCCGAUGAGCAGUGCCAUGUCCGCGCCCAGGAUUCGAACCAACGAAACACUGGGCCGCCUGCAGCGGAGCGCAUGAACCUAACCACUCGGCCACGGGGCCAGCCCCUCCUUUUUACCUUUUUGAUGUGGCUACUAGAAAAUGUUUACUUCCAUGUGUGGCUCGCAGUGUAUUUCUAUCGCAUGUCUCCGCUUUCCCUCACCCGUACUCGAGUCGGUUAAUAUGUCUGACUCCCUGUUCUGUAACAGGGCUACAUAAGGGCUGGAAUCCUAGUAGGAUUUAUAGCUACUAUUUAUUGAGCGCUUACUAUGUGCUAGGCAUUGUGCUGGAGUUUUUUCACCUUAAAAUUAAAAAAUAAUAAUAAUAAUUAUAGAUUCACAGGGAGUUUCAAAUAAAGGAUGGGGAGGUCUCAUGUACCCUCCACCCAGUUUCCCCCAGUGAAAACAUCUGGCAGAACCAUCGUUCAAUACCACAGCUAGGAACUGGCUUUGGUACAAUUGACCAAUGACUCAGAUUUCACUGGUUUUCAGUAUACUCAUUUGUGAGUAUGUGGAUAAUUCUGUGCAGUUUGCCCACAUGUAGAUUUGUGCAACCUCCAUUGCGAUCAGGAUACAGAACUGAUCUGUCACCAGAGGCUUCCUCCUGGUCCCCUUUUAUAGCUAACGCUCCCCUCUCCCCCGUGCCUAGCAACCACUAAUCUAUUCUCUAUUUUGUCAUUUUGAAAAUGUUAUAUAAAUAAAAUCAUAUAGUAUGCAAACUUUUGCAAUAGGCUUUUUUUCGCUCAUUUUGCAUGCGCCCUUGAGAUACGUCCAAGUUUUUCUAUCACUAAUGCAUUCCUCUCUAUUGCUGCAUGAUAUUCCGUCGUGUGGAUGGACCACAGGUUUUUUAAUCCAUCCUCCAAUGGAGGGACAUUUUGGUUGUUUCUAGUUUUGGGAGAUUAUGCAUAAAGCCACUGUAAGCAUUUGUGUACAGGUCUUUGUGGGAACAUAGGUUUUUAUUUCUCUGGAUAAAGGCCCAUGAGUGCAAUUGUGCAC
ensembl:lncRNA